rnacentral:misc_RNA from 1 species
GAGAAUAUAGAUCUCACAGCAUCCGCAAUAGGGACAGAAUACUCUGGAUUGAGAUACAAAACAUUCGCUCGCACAGGGAGAUUUGCAGGCUUGAGUACAGGAGUGACUACUCCAUCUUUGAGUAUAAACAGAUCUGACAGGGAAAGUGAUUGAGUAGUUUCUCCCUGUUUGAGGAAAGUAGCUCCGUGAUCCUCCAAGUCUUUCUCCAUCUUUUCAUACAAUCUAGACCUCUGCUCCGCAUUUGAGAUAGACCACUCUCUGGAAUUGCGAUUUGCCAUAAGGAAGAGGAGAUAAAAGGUAAGUGCAGAUAUUAACCAGAUCCAAAUCGCCGGUUUCGAAAUGGAACAAUAAUUCCUAACCCUAACCAUUACUUCAAAAUUUCAGUCCAAUAGAUCAUUAUGUUCGUUCAUUAUUUCCUCAAUAUCUCUUCGUUUUCCACAGAUCAGUUCAUCAGUUUUCUAUUUUCAGCACUUUGCCAUAGCUUAUCAUAACUUUACUCACUCCCUCACUGUUCAUUCAUUUCACCAUAGUCUAUGACUCU